rnacentral:snRNA from 1 species
AGAAGACACCCUGAUUUAACUUCUGGUAUCGGAAGAUGCAAGAGCCGAACCAGA